rnacentral:misc_RNA from 1 species
GUAUUUGCUGAUGGUUGGUGCAAUGGUAAGUUUCUCGUAACAUGUGGGCAAUCAUGUUUUUGAAACAUGGAAACAGCCUCUGUGCAACAUUGCUUGAAGGCUGCCUUCUCAGAACUUGCAUUGGCAAAAACUUGUGUGCUUGGCUACCAUUCUAAUUACUUUUGAAAUUUUUAAUAUGAAAAUCCAUGUGGGUGGUUGUCAUUUGUCUCUUUUACAUGGAUCCAAAAUUUUGCCCACAUGGUGUAAUUGAAUGUUUCAUAUUUAAUUUCUGUGCAUGCUAUCAAUUUUAAUUCGUAGUAGUGU